CAUGGAAACUGAUACUGUGGCUAUAGUUGGCCCUCAGUCCUCCGUGACAGCCCAUGUAGUAUCCUUUAUUGCCGCUGAGCUUCAAGUGCCUCUAUUAUCAUAUUCUGCUACGGACCCAACUCUUUCUUCACUUCAGUUCCCAUUCUUUGUUAGGACAUCUCUGAAUGACCUGUUUCAAAUGACUGCUGUAGCUGAACUUGUUCAUUAUUAUGGAUGGAGAGACGUGAUAGCCAUCUAUGGGGAUGAUGACUAUGGGAGAAAUGGGAUAGCUGCACUAGGUGAUAAGCUUGCAGAGAAACGGUGUCAAAUCUCAUACAAUGUGCCUUUGAGCCCAGAAGCAACCAGGGAUGAGAUCACUGAUGCACUAGUUGAAGUGGCUCUAACUGAGUCCAGGAUUCUAGUUGUUCAUACUUUGGCCACUUGGGCUCCAUUUGUGUUUAGUGUGGCUCAAUAUCUAGGCAUGAUGGGAACUGGAUAUGUAUGGAUAGCUACUAAUUGGCUUUCCACUCUGUUGGACACUAGUUCUCCUCUCCCUGAAGACACAGUUCAUAAUAUUCAAGGAGUUAUUACAUUGAGAAUGUACACACCAAAUUCAGAACCCAAAAGAAAAUUUGUUUCUAGGUGGAGCAACUUGACUAGUGGAAUAAAAGCUAAUGGCCCUACUGGGCUGAGUACUUAUGGUCUAUAUGCCUAUGAUACAGUAUGGCUACUUGCGCGUGCAAUUGAUGCAUUUUUUGAUCAGGAGGGAAAUAUUUCCUUUUCCAAUGAUUCAAGGCUAAUUGAGCUAAAUGGUGGGGAUUUGCAUCUUGAUGCCUUGAGCAUCUUUAAUGGAGGUAGAAUGUUGCUUAAAAACAUUUUGCAGGUUAAUAUGACAGGUGUAACAGGUCAAAUCAAGUUCAAUGCUGAUGGGAACCUCAUUCAACCUGCAUAUGAAAUAAUCAAUGUUGUUGGCACGGGGUAUAGGAAGAUUGGUUAUUGGUCUAAUUACUCUGGUUUAUCAGUUGUGCCUCCUGAAACACUUUACUCAAUGCCUCCUAAUCAGUCCAGUUCAAGUCAGAAAUUAUACCCUGUCAUUUGGCCAGGACAAGCAACACAGAAGCCUCGUGGGUGGGUGUUUCCAAACAACGGAAGACAUUUGAGAAUUGGAAUCCCAAAUCGUGCUGUCUACCCUGAAUUUGUUUCCCAAGUGCCAGGCACUGAAGUGUUUUCUGGGUACUGCAUUGAUGUUUUUACUGCUGCUGCCAACUUGUUGCCAUAUGCUGUCCCUUAUAAAUUAGAACCAUUUGGGGAGGGAAUAACAAAUCCAAGUGGCACUGAACUUGUUCGCAUGAUCACAGCUGGUGUCUAUGAUGCAGCAGUAGGUGACAUUGCAAUCACUACUAACCGAACUAGGAUGGCAGACUUUACGCAACCCUAUAUUGAGUCUGGGUUAGUAGUAGUGGUUCCAGUUAAGAAGGUGAAUUCUGAUGCUUGGGCCUUUUUGAGGCCAUUUACUCGCAAGAUGUGGGUUGUCACUGCUUGCUUUUUCAUAAUUGUGGGUAUAGUUGUUUGGAUUUUGGAGCAUAGGUUGAACGAUGAUUUUAGAGGCCCUCCCAGAAGACAAUGCAUCACUGUUUUAUGGUGAGUGACUAAGAAACAUCUCAGAAAUUUUUUGGUAGAAAAACACAAAUGCUCUAGUCCCAAGAGCAAAAUCUUGCAGAUUAUUUCAAGAAUGGUUCUUUUUGAAUUUCUGUUUACUGCUGUCAAAGCAUGUCUAUUGCUUGAGCUCAUUACAUAAAGCACUGGAUCAUUUUGCCUGAGUUCCCCAAUCUUACAAUCGUGUUUCCCUUCUGCAGGUUUAGCUUUUCAACAUGGUUCUUUGCUCAUAGAGAAAAUACUGUUAGCACCCUUGGUCGCUUUGUCCUACUUAUAUGGCUGUUUGUGGUGCUUAUAAUUAACUCAAGCUACACUGCAAGCCUAACCUCGAUCCUUACAGUGCAGCAGCUUUAUUCUCCCAUUACAGGCAUUGAAUACUUAAGGUCAAUAAGGGACCCUAUAGGCUACCAGCAGGGUUCAUUUGCCCGUGAAUAUCUAAUUGAUGAAUUGGGCAUUGAUGAGUCCAGACUGGUUCCGCUUAUCACCCCAGAAGAAUAUUCUAAAGCCUUGAAAGAUGGUCCCCAUAAAGGUGGAGUUGCUGCAGUGGUUGAUGAGCGUCCAUAUGUAGAGCUCUUCCUCUCAACCAGAUGUGAGUUCAGUAUUGUAGGUCAAGAGUUCACCAAGAAUGGAUGGGGCUUUGCUUUUCCAAGGGACUCACCUUUAGCAGUUGACAUAUCGACUGCCAUUUUGCAACUGUCAGAAAAUGGGGAUCUCCAGAGGAUUCACGACAAAUGGCUUAUGAGAAGUGCUUGUAGUUCAGCAGGCACAAAGUUUGAAGUAGAUCGGCUUCAACUCAGAAGCUUCUGGGGUCUCUUUAUGAUAUGCGGAUUAGCUUGUUUCCUUGCUCUCCUUUUACAUUUCUUGAAAAUGAUGCGGCAGUUCAGCAGGCACCACUCUGAGGAGUUGGCAUCUUCUGGUCAAAGCUCAAGGUCUGCACGUCUCCAGACAUUCCUUACAUUUGUUGAUGAAAAGGAAGAGGAAGUGAAACACCGCUCCAAGAGACGACAACUGGAAGGGGUGUCUAACAGAAGUCAAGAAAAAUCUGUGUACAGUUCCAGUUCCAAGAGAAUACGUGUUGACUCACCUUCAGACACAGGUCUUGGUGCUGGUAGUGAAGCAUGAUAUUCAUCUUGGACCAACAGUUUCCUAUAGGAUUAGAAUAACUCUUCUCAGUUGGUUCUCAGCAAGUUCCAAAGAGGCCUUCUGGUAUACACAAGUGAAAAUAGAUAACAUUUGGCAGCAGUUUUUGGUUCUUAAUUAUAACAGCAAUGCAAUAGAUAGCUGGACCUUUUCGGUUUUUAGUCAUAUUUUCCAGGACGCUGGAAAACACGUCCUUGGAAACCUUUGCUUUGCAUUCUAAAAGAGGGGGAAAAAACACUAUAUAUGUACUAAAUUCGUUUCUCCUGUCUCAAGUAAAGGAGUAUGUUAGUUACUACUAACUCUGUUUUCAAUGACUUUUCCCCUUUCAUCUGCAAAUGACGAAGGAUUAAUUAUAUUUUUUGUUCUUGAGAUGC
rnacentral:misc_RNA from 1 species